rnacentral:rRNA from 1 species
CGCGCUAUCUGCAGUCGUGGGGCAGCAGGGGCGUAGCAAUACGCUCGCUGGCGACCGGCAAACGGGUGCGGAACACGUACACAACCUUCCUUUAAGUGGGGAAUAGCCCGGGGAAACCCGGAUUAAUACCCCGUAACAUAUUGAAAAGGCAUCUUUUUAAUAUUAAAGCUCCGGCGCUUGAAGAUGGGUGUGCGGCUGAUUAGGUAGUUGGCGGGGUAAUGGCCCACCAAGCCUUCGAUCAGUAACUGGUGUGAGAGCACGACCAGUCACACGGGCACUGAGACACGGGCCCGACUCCUACGGGAGGCAGCAGUAAGGAAUAUUGGUCAAUGGACGCAAGUCUGAACCAGCCAUGCCGCGUGGAGGAUGAAGGUCCUCUGGAUUGUAAACUUCUUUUAUCUGGGAAGAAAUCCACAAAUUCUUUUGUGGUUGACGGUACCAGAUGAAUAAGCACCGGCUAACUCCGUGCCAGCAGCCGCGGUAAUACGGAGGGUGCAAGCGUUAUCCGGAUUCACUGGGUUUAAAGGGUGCGUAGGUGGGCAGGUAAGUCAGUGGUGAAAUCUUUGGGCUUAACCCAGAAACUGCCAUUGAUACUAUCUUUCUUGAAUACCGUGGAGGUCAGCGGAAUAUGUCAUGUAGCGGUGAAAUGCUUAGAUAUGACAUAGAACACCAAUUGCGAAGGCAGCUGGCUACACGAAUAUUGACACUGAUGCACGAAAGCGUGGGGAUCAAACAGGAUUAGAUACCCUGGUAGUCCGCGCCCUAAACGAUGGAUACUCGACAUACGCGAUAUACUGUGUGUGUCUGAGCGAAAGCAUUAAGUAUCCCACCUGGGAAGUACGAUCGCAAG